UACGAAGGGGGCUAGCGUUGUUCGGAAUUACUGGGCGUAAAGCGCACGUAGGCGGACAUUUAAGUCAGGGGUGAAAUCCCAGAGCUCAACUCUGGAACUGCCUUUGAUACUGGGUGUCUUGAGUAUGGAAGAGGUGAGUGGAAUUCCGAGUGUAGAGGUGAAAUCCGUAGAUAUUCGCAAGAACACCAGUGGCGAAGGCGGCUCACUGGCCCGAUACUGACGCUGAGGUGCGAAAGCGUGGGGAGCAAACAGG
rnacentral:rRNA from 1 species